GAUGGUAGGACAAUAGUAAGAGCUAAUUAAGCCCAAAAACACAAAUACAAACCCACAUUAAAGACUCACUCAUCAAUAUACAAUUCAAGAAACAGAAACCAGCUUGCAAUAGUCAUAAACAAAACAUUGACUAUUGCAUAAGUAACAUCUUAUUUAUUUUGCUGUAAUGGUGACUGCAACCCAAAGUUGGUCAUCAUGAUUCACACUAUGUUAGGUAAAUUGCUGAAAGAUCUAACCAUUGGUUUCGUUAGUUGAAACCGGUGAAUCAAUCGUUUCUUUAGGUGAAACCGGUGAACCCUUGGUGUCGGGUGACUCGCCAUAUGAUAUUGAGAUCAGCUCGGACCGAGCUUUUUCUUUUUCAUCGGUAUUUACAGCUUCUGUGACACUAUGAACACUUUUGGGUUGAUCGGUUGAAGGAAGAUCGGUAUCCGGUAGAGAGUAUGAUAGAGCGAUUAACGACUCUCUUGCCAGGUCUACAGAAACUUCGCUUUCAGCUUCGUUUUUAGCCACGGAAUGUUCGUGUUCUGCUUCGUUUUUAGCCAUAUAAUAACACCAAAUCCUGCAAUAAAAUCUUCACAUUGCAAUGACCGUUGAGUCGUAAACUCAUCAUCUCCUCCAUCACCGAUCGAAGCAUUGACUUGACAAUGCAGCAGCACGUACCCAUCACCAUUUUUUAUCGUUCGCACAAUAAACUGUAGCCAAAGAAACUGUCUAAACUCAACACUGCUCACUUUACCUCUUUAUCAUAUCCUCUAUA
rnacentral:lncRNA from 1 species